CUACGUGCCAGCAGCCGCGGUAAUACGUAGGUCCCGAGCGUUGUCCGGAUUUAUUGGGCGUAAAGCGAGCGCAGGCGGUUAGAUAAGUCUGAAGUUAAAGGCUGUGGCUUAACCAUAGUACGCUUUGGAAACUGUUUAACUUGAGUGCAAGAGGGGAGAGUGGAAUUCCAUGUGUAGCGGUGAAAUGCGUAGAUAUAUGGAGGAACACCGGUGGCGAAAGCGGCUCUCUGGCUUGUAACUGACGCUGAGGCUCGAAAGCGUGGGGAGCAAACAGGAUUAGAUACCCUGGUAGUCCMCGCUGUAAACGCUGUCGAUUUGGGGAUUGGGCUUUAAGCUUGGUGCCCGUAGCUAACGUGAUAAAUCGACCGCCUGGGGAGUACGGCCGCAAGGUUAAAACUCAAAUGAAUUGACGGGGGCCCGCACAAGCGGUGGAGCAUGUGGUUUAAUUCGAUGCAACGCGAAGAACCUUACCUACUCUUGACAUCC
rnacentral:rRNA from 1 species